CAAUGCGGUCUUACCAGCACUAAUGCAAUGGAUCCCAUUAGAAUUUUGAAGUUAAGCGUGCUUGGGCAAGAGUAGCACUAGGAUGGGUGACCUCCUGGGAAGUCCUUGUGUCACACCUC
rnacentral:rRNA from 1 species